AAACUGUACUCUGCUUCUGCUUUUUUUUUUUUUUUUUCCUUUGCAAGUUUAUUUGUGUCAUUAACCUAUGCUAGGUCAUAGCAGCAUGACCAGGCAAGAAAAUGUCUCAGGACUAUUCAGUCCCCAAGGUGGAGGUGUAAAAAUAGGUGUAAGAAUGAUCACUCAUUCAGUGUUUGAUUUUUACAUCUAUGGCUGUUUUGGGAAAAGGACAGCAAGUAGAUUAAUGAGCCUAAGGCUAAGAUAAUUAACUAGCAAGAUUUCCAGGAAUAGUUUACAGAAAAGUGAGAAGCCAUGUAGAAUGACUGAGAAAGGGGUCUACUGGGUGAAAUAAAUCUUGUCAUCUUUCAGAUUGGAAGAGAGAGGGAAAAAAAACUCUUUUUCUCUAGUGUUGGGUGGAGAAAAGCAAAUAAUUUUGAGGCUUUCAAAAGCAGGGCAGAGUAAAAAAAAAUGUUUUUUUUUCUUUUUUUGUUAGUUUUUCUUGUUUUCUUAUUCUUGAAGGCUUUGGGAGAAGAGUGAAGGAAGGCAAGCUAAGUUUGUUUGGAAUAGCUGUGAGGCAAAGAAAGGAAAGAAAGGAGACUUCAAGCAAGUUUUGCUUGGAAACAAUCAAAGGAGGUCUGAGAACUUCGGGUUCUGCUACUUCUGCCUCUCAGGACUUCCAGUCUGCAGGCUGUGCAGCAGAGAGUUGGGAAGUUUUGUGUUCCAAAGUAGACAAAAGUGCAUCUCACUAUUUGCUAUCCCAUACCAUCUACCUGCAGAUGCAGGGACAACGUGAUCUCCUUCACAAAUCCCAAGACAAUGGUGAAAUUUUAAACUGAAUUAAUCAGAUUUUCUAUAGCACCGGCUACACAAAUCUUGGUGCUCAACAUAUGCUUGGAUAUCCUUCAUGCACUGUGAAGGACAGACUGUUCAAAGCCACUUUCUGUUGACAAGGAAUGAAAUAGUGACAUAGAAGGGAGGCAGAUACACAAAGUAUUGAACUGUGCUCUGACACUGUGCAAAUGAAACAGUAUUUGAUCUUCUAAAGUUGUUUGUAUCAAAGACAGUGAAUAAAACUGGGCUGAUAUCACA
rnacentral:lncRNA from 1 species